rnacentral:rRNA from 1 species
UAGGGAAUCUUCCACAAUGGACGCAAGUCUGAUGGAGCAACGCCGCGUGAGUGAAGAAGGUCUUCGGAUCGUAAAGCUCUGUUGUUGGUGAAGAAGGAUAGAGGCAGUAACUGGUCUUUAUUUGACGGUAAUCAACCAGAAAGUCACGGCUAACUACGUGCCAGCAGCCGCGGUAAUACGUAGGUGGCAAGCGUUGUCCGGAUUUAUUGGGCGUAAAGCGAGCGCAGGCGGAAUGAUAAGUCUGAUGUGAAAGCCUACGGCUCAACCGUGGAACUGCAUCGGAAACUGUCAUUCUUGAGUGCAGAAGAGGAGAGUGGAACUCCAUGUGUAGCGGUGGAAUGCGUAGAUAUAUGGAAGAACACCAGUGGCGAAGGCGGCUCUCUGGUCUGCAACUGACGCUGAGGCUCGAAAGCAUGGGUAGCGAACAGGAUUAGAUACCCUGGUAGUCCAUGCCGUAAACGAUGAGCGCUAGGUGUUGGGGACUUUCCGGUCCUCAGUGCCGCA